rnacentral:rRNA from 1 species
UACGGGGGGGGCGAGCGUUGUUCGGAAUCACUGGGCGUAAAGGGCGCGUAGGCGGCCCGCACAAGUCUGCGGUGAAAACCCCCGGCUUAACCGGGGGCCGGCCGUGGAAACUGUCGGGCUGGAGGCUGGGAGAGGGCAGCGGAAUUCCCGGUGUAGCGGUGAAAUGCGUAGAGAUCGGGAGGAACACCGGCGGCGAAGGCGGCUGCCUGGACCAGUCCUGACGCUGAGGCGCGAAGGCGUGGGGAGCGAACGGG